UACGUAGGUGGCGAGCGUUGUCCGGAUUUACUGGGCGUAAAGGGAGCGUAGGCGGACUUUUAAGUGAGAUGUGAAAUACCCGGGCUCAACUUGGGUGCUGCAUUUCAAACUGGAAGUCUAGAGUGCAGGAGAGGAGAAGGGAAUUCCUAGUGUAGCGGUGAAAUGCGUAGAGAUUAGGAAGAACACCAGUGGCGAAGGCGAUUCUCUGGACUGUAACUGACGCUGAGGCUCGAAAGCGUGGGGAGCAAACAGGAUUAGAUACCCCCGUAGU
rnacentral:rRNA from 1 species